CCCUUAGAUGUCCUGGGCCGCACGCGCGUUACACUGAUGCAUUCAACGAGUUUUUCCUGGUCCGAGAGGAAUGGGUAACCUUUUGAAAGUGCAUCGUGCUAGGGAUAGACUAUUGCAAUUAUUGGUCUUCAACGAGGAAUUCCUAGUAGACGUAGUUCAUCAGACUGCAUCGAUUACGUCCCUGCCCUUUGUACACACCGCCCGUCGCUCCUACCGAUUGGAUGAUCCGGUGAGCUAUUCGGACCUUCGCUUCGUCGAUUUUCGGCUUUGUGAGGGAAAGUCUCGCGAACCUUAUCAUCUAGAGGAAGGAGAAGUCGUAACA
rnacentral:rRNA from 1 species